rnacentral:rRNA from 1 species
AGUGGUGCAUGGUAUUGGAUCUUUUACUUUGAAAAAAUUAGAGUGUUUCAAGCAGGCUUUAUGCUAUGAAUACAUUAGCAUGGAAUAAUAAUUUAGGACUUCGGUUCUAUUUUGUUGGUUUCUAGGACUGAAGUAAUGAUUGAUAGGGAUAGUUGGGGGUGCUAGUAUUCAGCGGCCAGAGGUGAAAUUCUCGGAUUCGCUGAAGACUAACUUAUGCGAAAGCAUUCACCAAGGAUGUCUUCUUCUGUCUCU